GAUGAACGCUGGCGGCGUGCCUAACACAUGCAAGUCGAACGGAGACGCGCCGUAGAGACCUUCGGGUCGAAGGGGGGAAGACUGAGUGACGGAUGGGUGAGUAACACGUGGGUAACCUGGCUCAUAAAGGGGGUUAAGAGAGAACAAUUUCUGCUAAUACGCCACAUGCACACGCUGCCGCAUGGCCGGGUGUGGAAAGAGGAUGGCUAUGAGAUGGACCCGCGUCUGAUUAAGCAGUUGGCAGGGUAAUAGCCUGCCAUAGCGGCGGACAGUAGCCGAGUGGAGAGGAUGAACGGUCACAUUGGGACUGAGACACGGCCUCAACUCCGACGCGAGGGAGCAGUGGGGGAUACUGCACGAUGGAGGGAGAUCUGAUGCAGCGACGCCGCGUGAGUGAAGAAGUAGUUCGGUAUGUAAAGCUCUAUCAGCAGGGAAGAGAGUGACGGUACCUGAAAAAGAAGCCCCGGCUAACUACGUG
rnacentral:rRNA from 1 species